ACUGCAGUAGGCCUUGUGGAAGUCAUACUGUAGUAGGCCUUGUGGAAGUCAUACUGCAGUAGGCCUUGUGGAAGUCAUACUGCAGUAGGCCUUGUGGAAGUCAUGCUGCAGUAGACCUUGUGGAAGUCAUGCUGUAGUAGGCCUUGUGGAAGUUAUACUGCAGUAGGCCUUGUGGAAGUCAUUCUGCAGUAGGUCAUGUGGAAGUCAUACUGCAGUAGGCCUUGCGGAAGUCAUACUGUAGUAGGCCUUGUGGACGUCAUACUGCAGUAGGCCUUGUGGAAGUAAUUAUGUAGUAGACCUUGUGGAAGUCAUACUGUAGUAGGCCCUGUGGAAGUCAUACUUCAGUAGACCUUGUGGAAGUCCUGUUGUAGUAGGCCUUGUGGAAGUCAUAUUGUAACACUCGUAGGCCCUUUGGAAGUUAUACUGCAGUAGACCUUGUGGAAGUCACAUUGUAACACUCGUAGGCCUUGUGGAAGUCUUAUGGAGCUUCUAGCUUAACACAGUUAACAUUGCUUUUCAAUAAAGAUCUGUAUCCAUUCACUCAAGACCUGUUAGUCAGUCAGGUUAUUGGGAUGGCUGAAAACCUAUGAUAAUACUGUGCUGGUCUUAAACUUACUAAAUCAGAGUCUGUCCUAAAUCGCACCCUAUUACCUAUAUAUUCCCCAUAGAGCUCUGGUCAAACGUAGUGCACUAUGUAGGGAAUAAGGUGCCAUUUAGGACUAGGUCUAAAUUAGCUAUCAGGUGGUCUGAGCACUUACAUAAUGUCCAGACAGUAGUAUUUGACUUAAUCAAUUCUCUCACUACCAGUCAGUGAAUGAUGCUGCUUCUUAUUACCGUCGUUACUUCUAAUUUCCUAGUGGACGUCCCUGCCUCUCCUCUGGCCCUGUCCCCAGUCAGCCUCUCCGCUGGCCCUGUCCCAAUCAGCCUCUCCGCUGGCCCUGUCCCCAGUCAGCCUCUCCGCUGGCCCUGUCCCAAUCAGCCUCUCUGCUGGCCCUGUCCCACCUCCCUUUGGGCUAAGGCCUCAAACUGAAGACAGAGGCAGUCCUGAUGGUACACUACAAUGGAUGCUUUGUUCACCAGGAGGUAUUCAAUCUCCACUUCCUGUCCUUUCCCAUCUGCCCCUCUCACUUGUGAAGACUGAGUGGAUUUCUGUUCUGACUGUUUUGGACUAAAUGCUGUGGAUGUUUGGUCUUGGGUCGUUCGGGUUUUGCUGGUGUAGGCCGUCAUUGUAAAAAAUAAUUUGUUCUUAACUGACUUGCCUAGUUAAAUAAAGGUUAAAAAUGUUGUUUUUUUUGCCAGUGUAUUGGUAUGGAUCUCCAGUGAGGGCCUCGCCUCCAGUGAGGUGCCCUCUCCCCAGGCCACAUGUCUGGGAUCUGAGAUGGAUCUGAUGAUCUAUGGAGAGGAGACCGUGGAGUAAAUACUGUAUGUACAGGAAUUAUGAUCUCAUGCCAUGGUAAAUUGACAUGAUCUAUCUUGACUAUGACUGCAUCCCAAUUCUCCACACACAUGCAUUGGAUUGGUGCAAGAAAUGGUUUUCAAGGGAAUUUUCACCAUUGUUAAAUCCAUGACAGGGAGUGCAUAUGCACGAUUUUGGAGAAGGGUGGUAGAAGAAUCAGGAUGCAGCCUAAACCAGUUGAAUAGGAGUCACUGAGCAAUGUCUUUGACCUCUGACCUUCUCACCCCCUUAGUAAAUGGUGACUGAGUGCCGCUCCUGUAUGCUGCGUCCCUGUGCUGGUACCACACUGAAGACACUACUGAGCCUCUGGUGUUUGUAGUUCCCAACACAACUUGUGGGACAACAGUAAUGUUAAAGCUAUGUAUGGAACUGUACACAACUGCCAUGCAGUAACAACUGCCAUUGAUGAUACUCACCUAAUUAUAACUGUGUCCUGUACAUUAUGAUUAGGGGUAAGUGGGUGAGCUGUUGGUACCUGGAAUUCCAGAGGGGAUUUUAUUACGCUUAUUUGGUCAGUUUAUUUUAAAAUGUAUGCCUUAUGUAAGGGUAUUGUUUUCCUCUCCUAUAGAAUGGCAUCUAAACAGUACAGAUCUAAUCUAGGGGAAAGGACCUGUCUUUCUCCUGCCUGUUCCAAACCCCUUACCUACAACACCCUAAACACCCCCCACUAUGAGCCUGAUGCAUCUCCAGACUCUAUGUAUUUUUUGCCUCACAAGCCGCAAACCAUUUCACACCCAUCCAUUCCCCAACCCCUCUCACCAUCCAACCCCCUCUCCCAGUAGUACAACAUCGGAAGUUACCCGACACCCCAAAAAAUGCCAGGGGUAAGGCUGUUGUUACCCCUUCUCCUCCCCAACCACUCAAAGCCACCAAGUCCCCAGCUAAGCCCCCGUUGCUUUCCCUUCAUCCACAAUCCCGAGUUACACAUGAUACCCACUCCACCCCCAUCAAGCCCGUCCCUUUUAAGCCAGUUCCUUUCAAGUUCUCCCCUGAGUUUUCCCAUACCCCCUCAGCCUGCUGAGACAUCACAGAGUCAAAGGGUUGAGCAGUACCAAGACUACGUGCAGGUGGCUUUGACAUAUGAUCCUACUGUUUCUGUCACUAAUCACCCCAGUUCUCCCCAGCAAGAGAAGCCUAACCAACACACCAGACCUGUCACUCAACCACCUACUCUCUCCUCCUCCUCCCUCAGUAUCGUCAGUCCCUCUAUGCAUCAACACCUGCAGAGGAAGCAUAUUGCCCCUGUUCCUCCAACAAGCACACCACAGGAUCUAGAGAUUCCACAACUCCCCCAUAUGGAAGCUGUCCAGCACCAUAACCAAUAUUCUAAGUAUGUCCCUCCAGACCCCUUAUCCCACCAGAAUAGGCCUUCUCCUCCCUCUGGACCUCAACACCAUCACCCUAGUUCACCCAGCCACUAUUCCUACAUGUACCACUACACACACUCUCAGCCUGGUAGUCCCAGUAAGCAUACCUCUGGCUCUCAUCCUCCUCUCUACCAGCAAUACAGUGUCCCUGACCCCACUUUACAUCACUAUCAGAAGUAUGUAGUACCUCCAGCUCCUUCUAACCCUCCAAACAUUCAGCAUCACUCCCCCCAUACCAAUUCCACCAAUAACAGCCAAAUCCUAGGUUCCAUGCCCCAGCUUCUACCCACCUCUUGUCACGACUUCCGCCGAAGUUGGCUCCCUUGCCUGUUCGGGCGGUGCUCGGCGGUCGUUGUCACCGGCCUACUAGCCGCCACGAUCCCUUUUUCAUUUUCUGUUUGUUUUGUGUUAUUAGUUGCACCUGUGUCUUUUGUGUUUGCUUGAUGGGCUUCCUUAUUUAUAGCUAGGCUUCCUGUCCUUGUUUUGUGCGGGAUUACUCCUAUGUUACGUGUGUAUGAUUUUUGGUGUUCGUGCUCCGGACCUGGUACCCUGUGUGUUUGGGUUGGUCCACAUUUUCCGCGCCCUGUGUUGUGGUCAUUGUUUUCGGUGCAAUAUUAAAGUGCACUUUUUCCCUGUGGAACUAUAUGCUCUCUGUGCCUGAUUCUUCCUCACGCACAUAGCUGCCCGUGACACCUCUUGAAAAGAACCCUUCUUUCUCUCUGUAUGGUUUUCGGCACCCUGAACCUACAUCUCCUUACUUACCAUACCCACGUGCCAAGAGAGAGGCCCACCGGCACCUCAGUCCACUGAUUGGAAAUGUGAGGUGACAACCCAAGACCAUGCCUGGGAAGAAUUGACCCAAGACCAUGCCUGGGAAGAAGUCUGUUGACGCCAGAUGUUGAAUUAUGGAAAUGUCAAUAAAGAUUAGAUUUUUGAA